rnacentral:rRNA from 1 species
AAUCAACGCUGGCGGCGUGCCUCAGACAUGCAAGUCGAACGCGAAAGUCCCCUUCGGGGGACGAAGUAGAGUGGCGCACGGGUGAGUAACACGUAGGUAAUCUACCUUCGGAUGGGGAAGUAACAACCGGAAACGGUUGCUAAUACCGCAUAAUGCAGCGGCACCUAAUGGUGACAGUUGUUAAAGCGGGGGAGUCGAAAGACCUCGCGUCUGAAGAGGAGCCUGCGGCGGAUUAGCUAGUGGUAAGGUAAUGGCUUACCAAGGCGACGAUCCGUAGCCGGCCUGAGAGGGCGGUCGGCCACACUGACACUGACAUACGGGUCAGACUCCUACGGGAGGCAGCAGUCGGGAAUUUUGGGCAAUGGGCGAAAGCCUGACGCAGCGACGCCGCGUGAGGAUGAC